GGGUUGUGAGGUUAAGCGACUAAGCGUACACGGUGGAUGCCCUGGCAGUCAGAGGCGAUGAAGGACGUGCUAAUCUGCGAUAAGCGUCGGUAAGGUGAUAUGAACCGUUAUAACCGGCGAUUUCCGAAUGGGGAAACCCAGUGUGUUUCGACACACUAUCAUUAACUGAAUCCAUAGGUUAAUGAGGCGAACCGGGGGAACUGAAACAUCUAAGUACCCCGAGGAAAAGAAAUCAACCGAGAUUCCCCCAGUAGCGGCGAGCGAACGGGGAGCAGCCCAGAGCCUGAAUCAGUGUGUGUGUUAGUGGAAGCGUCUGGAAAGGCGCGCGAUACAGGGUGACAGCCCCGUACACAAAAAUGCACAUACUGUGAGCUCGAUGAGUAGGGCGGGACACGUGGUAUCCUGUCUGAAUAUGGGGGGACCAUCCUCCAAGGCUAAAUACUCCUGACUGACCGAUAGUGAACCAGUACCGUGAGGGAAAGGCGAAAAGAACCCCGGCGAGGGGAGUGAAAAAGAACCUGAAACCGUGUACGUACAAGCAGUGGGAGCCUCUUUUAUGGGGUGACUGCGUACCUUUUGUAUAAUGGGUCAGCGACUUAUAUUCUGUAGCAAGGUUAACCGAAUAGGGGAGCCGAAGGGAAACCGAGUCUUAACUGGGCGUUAAGUUGCAGGGUAUAGACCCGAAACCCGGUGAUCUAGCCAUGGGCAGGUUGAAGGUUGGGUAACACUAACUGGAGGACCGAACCGACUAAUGUUGAAAAAUUAGCGGAUGACUUGUGGCUGGGGGUGAAAGGCCAAUCAAACCGGGAGAUAGCUGGUUCUCCCCGAAAGCUAUUUAGGUAGCGCCUCGUGAAUUCAUCUCCGGGGGUAGAGCACUGUUUCGGCAAGGGGGUCAUCCCGACUUACCAACCCGAUGCAAACUGCGAAUACCGGAGAAUGUUAUCACGGGAGACACACGGCGGGUGCUAACGUCCGUCGUGAAGAGGGAAACAACCCAGACCGCCAGCUAAGGUCCCAAAGUCAUGGUUAAGUGGGAAACGAUGUGGGAAGGCCCAGACAGCCAGGAUGUUGGCUUAGAAGCAGCCAUCAUUUAAAGAAAGCGUAAUAGCUCACUGGUCGAGUCGGCCUGCGCGGAAGAUGUAACGGGGCUAAACCAUGCACCGAAGCUGCGGCAGCGACACUGUGUGUUGUUGGGUAGGGGAGCGUUCUGUAAGCCUGUGAAGGUGUACUGUGAGGUAUGCUGGAGGUAUCAGAAGUGCGAAUGCUGACAUAAGUAACGAUAAAGCGGGUGAAAAGCCCGCUCGCCGGAAGACCAAGGGUUCCUGUCCAACGUUAAUCGGGGCAGGGUGAGUCGACCCCUAAGGCGAGGCCGAAAGGCGUAGUCGAUGGGAAACAGGUUAAUAUUCCUGUACUUGGUGUUACUGCGAAGGGGGGACGGAGAAGGCUAUGUUGGCCGGGCGACGGUUGUCCCGGUUUAAGCGUGUAGGCUGGUUUUCCAGGCAAAUCCGGAAAAUCAAGGCUGAGGCGUGAUGACGAGGCACUACGGUGCUGAAGCAACAAAUGCCCUGCUUCCAGGAAAAGCCUCUAAGCAUCAGGUAACAUCAAAUCGUACCCCAAACCGACACAGGUGGUCAGGUAGAGAAUACCAAGGCGCUUGAGAGAACUCGGGUGAAGGAACUAGGCAAAAUGGUGCCGUAACUUCGGGAGAAGGCACGCUGAUAUGUAGGUGAAGCGACUUGCUCGUGGAGCUGAAAUCAGUCGAAGAUACCAGCUGGCUGCAACUGUUUAUUAAAAACACAGCACUGUGCAAACACGAAAGUGGACGUAUACGGUGUGACGCCUGCCCGGUGCCGGAAGGUUAAUUGAUGGGGUUAGCGCAAGCGAAGCUCUUGAUCGAAGCCCCGGUAAACGGCGGCCGUAACUAUAACGGUCCUAAGGUAGCGAAAUUCCUUGUCGGGUAAGUUCCGACCUGCACGAAUGGCGUAAUGAUGGCCAGGCUGUCUCCACCCGAGACUCAGUGAAAUUGAACUCGCUGUGAAGAUGCAGUGUACCCGCGGCAAGACGGAAAGACCCCGUGAACCUUUACUAUAGCUUGACACUGAACAUUGAGCCUUGAUGUGUAGGAUAGGUGGGAGGCUUUGAAGUGUGGACGCCAGUCUGCAUGGAGCCGACCUUGAAAUACCACCCUUUAAUGUUUGAUGUUCUAACGUUGACCCGUGAUCCGGGUUGCGGACAGUGUCUGGUGGGUAGUUUGACUGGGGCGGUCUCCUCCUAAAGAGUAACGGAGGAGCACGAAGGUUGGCUAAUCCUGGUCGGACAUCAGGAGGUUAGUGCAAUGGCAUAAGCCAGCUUGACUGCGAGCGUGACGGCGCGAGCAGGUGCGAAAGCAGGUCAUAGUGAUCCGGUGGUUCUGAAUGGAAGGGCCAUCGCUCAACGGAUAAAAGGUACUCCGGGGAUAACAGGCUGAUACCGCCCAAGAGUUCAUAUCGACGGCGGUGUUUGGCACCUCGAUGUCGGCUCAUCACAUCCUGGGGCUGAAGUAGGUCCCAAGGGUAUGGCUGUUCGCCAUUUAAAGUGGUACGCGAGCUGGGUUUAGAACGUCGUGAGACAGUUCGGUCCCUAUCUGCCGUGGGCGCUGGAGAACUGAGGGGGGCUGCUCCUAGUACGAGAGGACCGGAGUGGACGCAUCACUGGUGUUCGGGUUGUCAUGCCAAUGGCACUGCCCGGUAGCUAAAUGCGGAAGAGAUAAGUGCUGAAAGCAUCUAAGCACGAAACUUGCCCCGAGAUGAGUUCUCCCUGACCCUUUAAGGGUCCUGAAGGAACGUUGAAGACGACGACGUUGAUAGGCCGGGUGUGUAAGCGCAGCGAUGCGUUGAGCUAACCGGUACUAAUGAACCGUGAGGCUUAACCUUACAACGCCGAAG
rnacentral:rRNA from 1 species